UCUCAGAUUGAACGCUGGCGGCAGGCCUAACACAUGCAAGUCGAGCGGUAGCACAGAGAGCUUGCUCUCGGGUGACGAGCGGCGGACGGGUGAGUAAUGUCUGGGAAACUGCUGAUGGAGGGGGAUAACUACUGGAAACGGUAGCUAAUACCGCAUAACGUCGCAAGACCAAAGUGGGGGACCUUCGGGCCUCAUGCCAUCAGAUGUGCCCAGAUGGGAUUAGCUAGUAGGUGGGGUAACGGCUCACCUAGGCGACGAUCCCUAGCUGGUCUGAGAGGAUGACCAGCCACACUGGAACUGAGACACGGUCCAGACUCCUACGGGAGGCAGCAGUGGGGAAUAUUGCACAAUGGGCGCAAGCCUGAUGCAGCCAUGCCGCGUGUGUGAAGAAGGCCUUCGGGUUGUAAAGCACUUUCAGCGGGGAGGAAGGCGGUGAGGUUAAUAACCUCAUCGAUUGACGUUACCCGCAGAAGAAGCACCGGCUAACUCCGUGCCAGCAGCCGCGGUAAUACGGAGGGUGCAAGCGUUAAUCGGAAUUACUGGGCGUAAAGCGCACGCAGGCGGUCUGUCAAGUCGGAUGUGAAAUCCCCGGGCUCAACCUGGGAACUGCAUUCGAAACUGGCAGGCUAGAGUCUUGUAGAGGGGGGUAGAAUUCCAGGUGUAGCGGUGAAAUGCGUAGAGAUCUGGAGGAAUACCGGUGGCGAAGGCGGCCCCCUGGACAAAGACUGACGCUCAGGUGCGAAAGCGUGGGGAGCAAACAGGAUUAGAUACCCUGGUAGUCCACGCCGUAAACGAUGUCGAUUUGGAGGUUGUGCCCUUGAGGCGUGGCUUCCGGAGCUAACGCGUUAAAUCGACCGCCUGGGGAGUACGGCCGCAAGGUUAAAACUCAAAUGAAUUGACGGGGGCCCGCACAAGCGGUGGAGCAUGUGGUUUAAUUCGAUGCAACGCGAAGAACCUUACCUGGUCUUGACAUCCACAGAACUUUCCAGAGAUGGAUUGGUGCCUUCGGGAACUGUGAGACAGGUGCUGCAUGGCUGUCGUCAGCUCGUGUUGUGAAAUGUUGGGUUAAGUCCCGCAACGAGCGCAACCCUUAUCCUUUGUUGCCAGCGGUCCGGCCGGGAACUCAAAGGAGACUGCCAGUGAUAAACUGGAGGAAGGUGGGGAUGACGUCAAGUCAUCAUGGCCCUUACGACCAGGGCUACACACGUGCUACAAUGGCAUAUACAAAGAGAAGCGACCUCGCGAGAGCAAGCGGACCUCAUAAAGUAUGUCGUAGUCCGGAUUGGAGUCUGCAACUCGACUCCAUGAAGUCGGAAUCGCUAGUAAUCGUAGAUCAGAAUGCUACGGUGAAUACGUUCCCGGGCCUUGUACACACCGCCCGUCACACCAUGGGAGUGGGUUGCAAAAGAAGUAGGUAGCUUAACCUUCGGGAGGGCGCUUA
rnacentral:rRNA from 1 species